GGUGGUGUGGUGUAGUGGUGUAAGUUGCCUUGGUUACUAAAUACUUUAACAAAGGCUAAUCCCCUACAUAGAGCACGUAACGUUGUGGCUGUAAAGCAAGACAACUCCGUUCCGACCUGGGUUCGAUUCCCAGCACUGCCA
rnacentral:tRNA from 1 species